GGUUCUCGUACGAUCACCGAAGUUAAGCAACGGCGAGCCUGGUCAGUAACUAGAUGGGUGACCACUUAAGAAUACCAGGUGUUGUAAG